GUAGUGAUCUAGAAUCUUCUUUUAUUCAGCGCACUGACUCUAUCUGUCUACUUUUUCUUUCCUGUUGACUGUUCCCAAAGCAGACCAGAAGAGAGGCAGUAUUCUGGGAAGGCACAGACAUGGAAGAAAACUACAAAGGAUCCUUCUCGCAAGUCCCCAGACAAUAGCCAGGAUUCUCCAGGUCAACACCCUCUUCCAGGCUUCAAGCAAGUCAUUGGCUUCAGCAUCUGUGAAACCCAAGGAAUGUUAUGUAAUUGUCUCAUUCUCGUGCAUAUGUAUGUUCUUCUAAGGAGAAGGCUCCCAGUGUUCAUCAGAUUCCAAAGUAAUCUAUGAGCUGAAAAGGGUAGAAGCCCUGCUCCAGACUGCCUCCGCUGAGAGCCAGGCAUUGCUCUGCAGGGAUGAAGCUCCACUUGGAUCCUGCCCAUGGCCAGCUGAAGCCCCUUCUGCCUCUUGGAAGUCCUGGAGCCACUUAUUUUAAGAACAUGGCCUGUAGUGUGGAUCUUCAACUGCUGAUUGCAAUGGAUUCAACGUCCCUUGACCGGGCAGUGUGCCAGGGAAGCUGCAUUUCCUCCGCAAAGGCUGGCAGAAAAACUUAGGCCCCAACUUAACAGAAAACACGAAGGAGCCAGAGUCAGCUUUCCUUUUACAGUCAGAGGCUCCCCACACUGGUGGUGAAUCCUCAGCACAGGCGAAAAACAGGAAGGGAUAAAAAUGAAGGAAGUCUCUUGGCCAGUGGUCUUGAAGUGUUCCUUCCACACGGGUCCACUUCAGCCUGCCUGUGGGCAUCCUCUCCUUUCUGCAGUGGUUACUUGCAGUGCAUCUCAGCCUUUCUACUGGAGUUCCAUUCUCCACUUAGGGCCAAGCAGCCUGUCUAACCCACGGUGCACACAGGAAUGCAAAAUAUCCCCUGCUGUGUGCUGAUGCCUCAUGCAGCAGGAAGCAGUCCCAAGGUGUCCUGAAAUUAACUUACCAAGUCGCAUGCAGCAUUUCCUUCCUUUUAUUUUCGUUUGGAAAGAGACUGGAAUGGAAUGGAAUAGACAGACUAGACUAGAACAUAUCUGAGUCAUUGUGUGGUAAUGACUUCUUGAAACUUUUGUUUCAGUGUGUGUGGUGGGGUAAGGGGGGAUCACAAUUUAAAAUGUUGCCUCUCAGUCAGAAAACAACUUGGAAGGAUGAAUCUCAGGCCAUCCACGGAGCUUGCACAUGAUGUCCAGGGCCUUCUGAAGGGCUGUGAAGUUGCAGGGUAAACAACAACAAAAGCAGCGGGACAGAGGGCCUUGAUUCAGGUCCAGGAGGUGCUGGGUCCUCAGUCAAGUCCCACCGUCCCUUUGAGCCUUUCUUCUCAUCUGUAAAAUGAGGAUAAUCAGUCUCACUUCGCCUGCCUUGAAGGGUUGUUGUGCGGCUCAAACGGAACAGUGUUUGCUAAAUGUGGUGCACAUCAUAGGACAAGGCUUAUGUAAGGCAUUUUGGAAUUUUUAUUUAUAGUGGGAAGUUCAAACCAGGAAAAGAAGAGAUGGAUAAUAGCGUUGUUCAGGGUAGGUUGCACAGGGUGCUAUGGUUUGAAUGUGUCCCCCAGAAAUCAUGAGUUGGAAACUUAACCCACAAUGCAAUGGUGGUGGGAGGUCGGGCCUAAUGGGAGGAGUUGCAUCACGACAGCUCCACCCUCAUGAAUGGAUCCAUGCCAUUAUAAAAAAGCCAGACCCUGCGAGUUCACCCUCUUGCUCUCUCUCACCUUCUCUUUGCCAUUUUGCCGUGGAAUGAAGCAGCAAGAAGGCCCUCGUCAGAUGCCAGCCCCUCAGUCUUGGACUUCUCAGCCUCCAAAACUGUGAGAAGUAAAUUUCCUUUCUUUAUAAAUUACUUAGUCUGUGUAUUCUGUUAUAGCAACACAAAACAGAUUAAGACAGAGAGUGUCAAAGAUCCCUCAAGUCACCCCACGUGGCAGUCUCGGCAGUCUCCCAGUUCUCCUGCAUGUCCAGCCAGAUGAGACUAUCCAGGUAAUGCCUCAGGAAUCCUCCUACCGCAGUGAUUCUAAGCAACACAAGCAAAGGAAGUUUCAAGUUUGUUUUGUUUUUAAGUGUUCUUGACCCUAGGGCUGGUAUUUGAUAGCACCUGAAUGUCUAGGGCUGACCAGUUCUUUCUGGCUCACUCCACCCCUGCAGAGCCGUAGGAAACCCAUGCAACUUCCUCAUUGCCCAUGAGGCAAGGCAAGUGGUAGCGCACGCCUCUUAUGGAGUGAACACUACUGUUCUUUCUACUUCAUGGGAAGGUCUUGCAAAACAUUGGUUCUGUCUUCUUGCAUGAAUCAUAGACUAAAGAAUGAAGAAACACUUCUGAGUAACAAACAAGGAAGAAAGAAAAGGAAGCAAGCUGUGGUGAUGCGUUCUUGGAACAUAACUCCAAGUCAGUUCAUAGGAGCGAAAUCAACGUGUAGAUCUUUGUGUAAGGUUUUGCUGCUAAAGGACAAAAAAAAAAAAACUUUCCUUUUCCUUUUUUUUCUGAGUAAAAAGAUAACAGACACUCAUAAAAAUCAAAUAACGAAAUUAGAUCCCAAGAAGAGGACAAUGUAAGCAAUUUAAAGCACAUUUUCCCAAACUUGUGUCUUUUACUAAACUAAAAGAUUGAUACACAUACAUGGGCACAGUAUAGAUGUCAUUUUCCACUCCAUGUUUUCUUACCCAUCCACAUGACGGAGAGCUUUAUCCAUGAUGGUGGAUGAAAAUCUAGAACACUGCUAUUAGUAGUAGCAUUCUGUCAUAAAAAUGAAGCAGGACUUAUUAGUCAAUCUCACUGAAGGAUGUUUAAGUUGCUUCUGAAUUUUUGUUUCUAUAAAAAAAAAUGCCAGGAUAAACAUUCUUAUAUAUUCAUUAUUGUGCAUUUGUUCAGUUAUCUCCCAGGAAUAAGUUUCUGAGAGAAGAAUGACUGGGUCAAAAACUAUCAGAAUGUUCAACGUUAAUGUAUAUUGCCAAAUUGCCCUGCAGAAAUGGGGCAUCAGGUCCUACCAUCCCAGAAUUGCACAAGAGAACCCAUCUCUCCACAUCUAACCAACAGUGGUUACUGUCAAUCUUUUCACCUGUUUUCCAAUCUGAUAAGUAACAAAUAAUAUGUAUUUGUUGUUUUAAUUGCAUUUCUUUGAUUUCAGUGAGAUGUUAAAUUACUAAUUGUUAUCAAUGCAAAUAUACUACUAGCAGUGACAAUUGCUAAUCUGCACUGAAAAAUUUCUCUGCACCAGGCACUUUACUAAGCCCUUUACAGAAUUAUUUUCUUUUAUCCUCACAAUAACCCCUCAAGGCAGGGAAAAUAAGUAUCCCUAUUUUACAGAUAAAAACAAAGGCUUAGAGAGGUUACUUUGCUGAAGGUCAUGGAGCUAGUAAAUAGUGAAUCCAGAACUCAGUCCAGGUAGAUCUACCCCCAAAGCCCACACUGGGUAGCAAGCAUUAUCCUUCCAUUUAUUUCCAUACACACACUCACUAAUUCUGUGUUUCCUCUACGUAUGUUUCCACAGGCGAGUUUUAUGUCUUUAUGACCUUUGCUCAUUUUUUUUCAAUUGGAGUGCUUAUGUUUUUCUUAUUAAUUAGCAAUAACUUUUGGCUAUUAAGAAUAUUAAUUGCCAUUUUUAAAUCUACUUUUUUCUCUAUGAAAUGUAAUUAUAUACAAUUUACAACUUUCA
rnacentral:lncRNA from 1 species